rnacentral:lncRNA from 1 species
UCUUCUUUCUUUUUUUUUUUUUUUUAGACGGAUUCUUGCUGUCACCCAGGCUGGAGUGCAGUGGUACAGUCAGUCUCGGCUCACUGCAACCUCCAUCUCCAGGGGUUCAAGUGAUUCCCCUGCCUCAGCCUCCUGAGUAGCUGGGACUACAGGUGUGCACCACCACGUCCGGCCAAUUUUUUGUAUUUUGGUAGAGACGGGGUUUCACCACGUCCAGGAUGGUCUCGAUCUUCUGACCUCAUGAUCUGCCUACCUCGACCUCCCUACGUGCUGGGAUUACGGAUGACAUCUCGGCAAUGCAUCUGUGGGCCUUUAUCUCCACAUUCCUCCUGAAUGAAGGCCAGAGGCAAAUGAGAGGAAUCAGAAAUCGGGAGAAAACGUAAAAUGAAAGCUUGAAGCCUAAGCACAAGAAAAGAGAACCGUGUAUGGGAGAACACAGAGACAGUGCUGUGGACAUACAUCAGAAUCGGGACGGUCCCAGUUCUGCCCUUCAGACAUGACGGUAUCUAUUCCUGGAAGAAAGGGGAAUAACAGGACAAGGGCUCUGGAAUCCUGAGGAAGUUAAAGCUAGCAGUGGUUUUGCAGCUUCCUGACUAUCUUCUGACUCCACUUAUUUUUCCUUAAUGUGUUAUCUUGGAUCUUGUCAGGCAGUGACAACAAAGCUGAUGAGUCUAUUCUUGAGAUGCUGCAGUAGAUGCAGGCCAAGUAACCUUUACCUCCCCUUCUAGGUCCAAGAGCAGAAAUCUAGUAUCUUUCACUCUCCAAGGAAACUUCCAGUGGUCUUGGAAAUUGUACAGCCCCCAAAUGUCCUGGAUGAUACCAAUCACCAGUGUCAGAUGUUUUACUAUCACCUCUGAUGGCCUCACCCUCACAUUUGUCUCCCUCAGUACUUGAAGGUUUCUCUCUUGUUCCCACUACCUCUGCUACUACCUUUGCAGAAAUACUCAAUAUAUAGUGCACUGAUUUUUAUUAGACCCAGUAGUCUCAUUUAUAAAAAAUAAAAAUAAAGAAGGAACCAGAAAAAAAGACUCAGAUGUAUAAUUAAGAGCUCUUAAUUUUUCUAUUUGCUCUGCUUGACAUUACUAAAAUUUAGAUGUCUGAUGAUUUAGCCAACCAAUCUCUAGGUAUGUCAACAUCUCAAAAUAACUGUACACAGAGUAUAAACCAUUUUAUUAAGUGAAGAUUAUUAAAAACAGGCAACUCCCUCCUUCAAAUAUUUUAGGAUUCCCUUUCUGACCUAACAUAAUUAAAAUUCCAACUGGUCAAAUGCCAUUUUAUAAAACGGGUUUAUCCAUGUUAACUUUUAAAAAUAUUUUUUCAUUUAUCUUAUAAAUUAAUAUAUUAGUUUCAAUGCAGAUA